rnacentral:tRNA from 1 species
GCCUUCGUGGUGUAGUGGUCUGCAUUCUCGACGCGUAACCGAGAGGUCCGUGGUUCGAUUCCCGACGAAGGCG